rnacentral:rRNA from 1 species
GACGAACGCUGGCGGCGUGCUUAACACAUGCAAGUCGAACGGAAAGGCCCUGCUUUUGUGGGGUGCUCGAGUGGCGAACGGGUGAGUAACACGUGAGUAACCUGCCCUUGACUUUGGGAUAACUUCAGGAAACUGGGGCUAAUACCGGAUAGCAGCCCCUGCUGCAGGGUGGGGGUGGGAAAGUUUCGGCGGUUGGGGAUGGAUUGGCGGCUUAUCGGCUUGUUGGUGGGGUAGUGGCUUACCAAGGCUUUGACGGGUAGCCGGCCUGAGAGGGUGACCGGCCACAUUGGUACUGAGAUACGGCCCAGACUCCUACGGGAGGCAGCAGGGGGGAAUAUUGCACAAUGGGCGGAAGCCUGAUGCAGCAACGCCGCGUGCGGGAUGACGGCCUUCGGGUUGUAAACCGCUUUCGCCUGUGACGAAGCGUGAGUGACGGUAAUGGGUAAAGAAGCACCGGCUAACUACGUG